AAUGAACGCUGGCGGCAGGCCUAACACAUGCAAGUCGAGCGGACGAAGGGGGCUUGCUCCUGGAUGCAGCGGCGGACGGGUGGGUAAUGCCUAUGUAUCUGCCUUGGUGCUGGGGAUAACGUCCGAAAACGGGCGCUAAUACCGGAUGGGUACUGAGGUAGGAAGUGGGGGAUCUUCGGAUCGAAUGCUUACUUAUGAGCCUAGGUGGGAUUAGCUAGGUGGUGGGGUAAGGGGCUACAAAGGCGACGGUCCGAAACUGGUCUGAGGGGAUGACCAGUCACAUUGGAACUGAGGCAGGGUCCAGACUCCUACGGGAGGCAGCAGUGGGGAAUAUUAGGGGAUGGGGGAAAGCCUGAUCCAGCAAAGCCGCGUGAGUGAAGAAGGUCUUCGGAUUGUAAAGCACUGUAAGUUGGGAGGAAGGGAAGUACGUUAAUACCUGACUGUUUUGACGGUACCAACAGAAUAAGCACCGGCUAACUUCGUG
rnacentral:rRNA from 1 species